AGACAGGCAGCUGAUGUCCUCAUGACCUUCCCCAGUCCUCCCAGCCUUAAAGACGACAAUCAUAACCCACCCAGAGCUCUUCAUACUUCCUGCAGCCGGUUCAUCCACAAUAGGUCACAAGAUGGGCAUCACCACCCAGGAGGCUGGCCGCUCAGGAGACAGUGUGCCUCCUUUACAGAUGGAGAAACUGAGGUCCUGACUAGGCCAAGCACUUCCCAGGGCAGGGAUCUAAAUAGUGGGAAGUCUUCUGGCUUCUGGAUAGGGCUCAAGCUGAGAGCCAGGUUGCAGGCCAGGUCUGGGCCAAUGGAAUCUCGGCCAGGGCGGGUGCAGGGGCCUGAGGCCACACCCCAGAGGUGUCACUGGGGGCCUGCAUCCGUCUUGUCCCUUUCCCUGAGGGAUGAAGCAGCC
rnacentral:lncRNA from 10 species